CAGCAUCGUCGGGGCUGCCGGCGCUGGGGGAGAAGGGCGGAGCGCGCUCAGCUCAGCUCAGUUUUCCUUUACCCAGAAUGGACUGUCUAUGGAUCCGGACGACAUCCUAGAAGUUUCCCCACAUCCUUGAGUUGUACCAAUUUCAGCUUCCACAAGCAAUGCAUGAAGCCCCACAGCUCCACCGGCACUGAGACUGAGGCACACAGAGAUUCUGUCUGACUCCAGAGAAAAAACUUGACUGUGUGUUCAUCACCAGAAAAUGUAACCAGUGACUAAAGCUGAUGCCUGUCAACAGCCAUCCUCCUUCCGACUUCCAGAACCCUGAAUUUGGCAGCACUGUGCCAGAGAGGUAAGUAAGGGGUGAAUUAUGAUCAUGUAAGCAAGCUAUGACAACUCCAACCCUGUUUGUCAGGGAUUUGUCCUGUAUCCCUCCUGACUUGUGAGCCAUUGAAGUCAAUGAGGAAGUCUGCUGGGUGUGUCUGGGAAAGAUUUUCCUCCAUGAAUAGAGAGAAGCA